rnacentral:rRNA from 1 species
UGGGGAAUAUUGCACAAUGGGCGAAAGCCUGAUGCAGCAACGCCGCGUGAGGGACGACGGCCUUCGGGUUGUAAACCUCUUUUAGCAAGGAAGAAGCGAAAGUGACGGUACUUGCAGAAAAAGCGCCGGCUAACUACGUGCCAGCAGCCGCGGUAAUACGUAGGGCGCAAGCGUUAUCCGGAAUUAUUGGGCGUAAAGAGCUCGUAGGCGGUUUGUCGCGUCUGCUGUGAAAACCCGAGGCUCAACCUCGGGCCUGCAGUGGGUACGGGCAGACCAGAGUGCGGUAGGGGAGAUUGGAACUCCUGGUGUAGCGGUGGAAUGCGCAGAUAUCAGGAAGAACACCGAUGGCGAAGGCAGAUCUCUGGGCCGUAACUGACGCUGAGGAGCGAAAGGGUGGGGAGCAAACAGGCUUAGAUACCCUGGUAGUCCACCCCGUAAACGUUGGGAACUAGUUGUGGGGUCCAUUCCACGGAUUCCGUGACGCAGCUAACGCAUUAAGUUCCCCGCCUGGGGAGU